rnacentral:rRNA from 1 species
UACGAAGGGGGCAAGCGUUGUUCGGAAUUACUGGGCGUAAAGGGCGCGUAGGCGGCUUAUCAAGUCAGGCGUGAAAUUCCCGGGCUCAACCUGGGGGCUGCGCUUGAUACUGAUUGGCUUGAAUGCGGGAGAGGAUAGUGGAAUUCCCAGUGUAGAGGUGAAAUUCGUAGAUAUUGGGAAGAACACCGAUGGCGAAGGCAGCCAUCUGGACCGACACUGACGCUGAGGCGCGAAAGCGUGGGGAGCAAACAGG